GAUGAACGCUGGCGGCGUGCCUAAUACAUGCAAGUCGAGCGAACAGACGAGGAGCUUGCCCCUCUGACGUUAGCGGCGGACGGGUGAGUAACACGUGGAUAACCUACCUAUAAGACUGGGAUAACUUCGGGAGACCGGAGCUAAUACCGGAUAAUAUAUUGAACCGCAUGGUUCAAUAGUGAAAGACGGUUUUGCUGUCACUUAUAGAUGGAUCCGCGCCGCAUUAGCUAGUUGGUAAGGUAACGGCUUACCUAGGCAACGAUGCGUAGCCGACCUGAGAGGGUGAUCGGCCACACUGGAACUGAGACACGGUCCAGACUCCUACGGGAGGCAGCAGUAGGGAAUCUUCCGCAAUGGGCGAAAGCCUGACGGAGCAACGCCGCGUGAGUGAUGAAGGUCUUCGGAUCGUAAAACUCUGUUAUUAGGGAAGAACAAAUGUGUAAGUAACUAUGCACGUCUUGACGGUACCUAAUCAGAAAGCCACGGCUAACUACGUG
rnacentral:rRNA from 1 species